UACGGAGGGGGCUAGCGUUGUUCGGAAUUACUGGGCGUAAAGCGCACGUAGGCGGCUUUGUAAGUUAGAGGUGAAAGCCCAGGGCUUAACCCUGGAAUUGCCUUUAAGACUGCAUCGCUAGAAUUGUGGAGAGGUGAGUGGAAUUCCGAGUGUAGAGGUGAAAUUCGUAGAUAUUCGGAAGAACACCAGUGGCGAAGGCGACUCACUGGACACAUAUUGACGCUGAGGUGCGAAAGCCGUGGGGAGCAAACAGGG
rnacentral:rRNA from 1 species